CUCCUCCUCCAGGAUACGCUGUCCCCAGUGCCACCGCUCCUGUGUCUACAGCCCAGCUCAAGCAAGCAGUGACACUUGGACAAGACUUAGCAGCAUAUACAACCUAUGAGGUCUACCCUACUUUUGCAGUGACCACCCGAGGUGAUGCAUAUGGCGCCUUCUGAAGAUCCCUUUCCUCUAAGAAUAAGCCUUUACAGGAGGCUCUGUAGAAGACACAAACCUCUAACCAGAUCCCUCAUGAUCAUAAGUCUGCCUUCCCCAAAGCAAUGCCUUCCCUGAGACCACAUGACUUAUUUAUCGUAUUUCUCACAAAAUGUGAAUUUUACUCUUCAACAAAAUCAAAGGUGAAGGAGCCUUUUACUUAACAGAAACCUGAAGACCCGCGGACAGCAAAAGUUCUUCCAAGAAGCCUGGAUGUCUCAGGAAGAGGAUAACACCCUGACAAGUUGGUGUAUGCUGUUGGACCGAGAGCUGGGCAGUCAGUAGCAAGGCACAGUCAGUAAAAUCCCCAUCUCAGUCGCCGGCUCACAGCUGCUUCAUCAUUCACAGAAUGUAGACACCAGAGGAAACCAGGAAGCUUUGUAAGAGGCCUUCAGCAUUGUGUGUGGGGUAUGACCAGGCUGAGUUCAGCAAAACUGUCUGAAACGUUAUAGAUCCCUUGUUACUUUUGGUCUGAAAGUUCCAUACCUUUUAUCUAUCAUAGGUCGGCACCUUCCUGUCCCUGCAACCUCUGGGGACUUUCUAAGUAAUCAAUACCAUGUGUUUCAGAUAUGCUUGAGGCAAAUCCAAGCCAUGUAUUUAUUCAACCCCUUAAGGCACUGUUUUCCUUUAGAAUUCUUACCCUGCUCAAGGACUGCCAAAUCACAGACACCAUGCCAGGACCAAGCUCUAGAGUGAAAGAUGACUCGUUUGUCUGGAAAGUCCGGCUUGUCCAUAUUAAUUUGCUUUCAUCUCAGACUCAUUCUUCGGCUGAUUUCAAACACUACAAAGUGAAUCAGAUCUACAUACAAAUCACAUGAUAUUUUCAUAAUCAAAGUUGACCAAAAAGUCAUCUCAAAGAGAAAAGUGAACUUGGUUGACUUUUGUCUCACUGUGUAGCCCAGGCUGGCCUCCAUCUUGUGAUCUCCCUGCCUCUAUCCCCACCCCAUGCUGGUGUUGUUGCUACACCACCAUACUCACCUCCAAGCAGUCAUGUUAAAAUUGAGGUUACCUUUGAAUUCUCUGCCCAGUUCAUGUUAGUCUAGCAAGAGGCAUUGUCUUUCCCAUUUUUUUUUAAUUCUCUUUCAAUGUGUGCAGCUGGCUCUACCAUGGCUGAGUCCCUGAAACUAUUUCAGGAAAGCCUUACACCCAUCAUGGUUGCUUAGAGACCAUCCCGUCAUUGUUCAGUAAAAGUGUUCCUGAGUAUUUGGACCAUCUGGUAGUGACCAGGGGAGGGAAGCUGCAUACAGGUAAAAAGGGUGGAAUGUUCUGAAACAAAUUAGAUAUAACUCCAGCCUUAUUAGUGAUUUUUUUAGGAGAUAAGCUGCUUGAAUCUCCAUUAAA
rnacentral:lncRNA from 1 species